rnacentral:rRNA from 1 species
ACAUGCAAGUCGAACGNGUGAACNCCGCGUGCUUGCACCGGUGAUCAGUGGCGAACGGGUGAGUAACACGUGAGUAACCUGCCCCAGACUCUGGGAUAACCCCGAGAAAUCGGAGCUAAUACCGGAUACGAGACGCACAGGCAUCUGCAGCGUCUGGAAAGAAUUUCGGUCUGGGAUGGACUCGCGGCCUAUCAGCUAGUUGGUGAGGUAACGGCCCACCAAGGCGACGACGGGUAGCCGGCCUGAGAGGGCGACCGGCCACACUGGGACUGAGACACGGCCCAGACUCCUACGGGAGGCAGCAGUGGGGAAUAUUGCACAAUGGGCGCAAGCCUGAUGCAGCGACGCCGCGUGGGGGAUGAAGGCCUUCGGGUUGUAAACCCCUUUCAGCAGGGAAGAAGCGAAAGUGACGGUACCUGCAGAAGAAGCGCCGGCUAACUACGUGCCAGCAGCCGCGGUAAUACGUAGGGCGCAAGCGUUGUCCGGAAUUAUUGGGCGUAAAGAGCUCGUAGGCGGUUUGUCGCGUCUGCUGUGAAAACCCGAGGCUCAACCUCGGGCCUGCAGUGGGUACGGGCAGACUAGAGUGCGGUAGGGGAGACUGGAAUUCCUGGUGUAGCGGUGGAAUGCGCAGAUAUCAGGAGGAACACCGAUGGCGAAGGCAGGUCUCUGGGCCGCAACUGACGCUGAGGAGCGAAAGCAUGGGGAGCGAACAGGAUUAGAUACCCUGGUAGUCCAUGCCGUAAACGUUGGGCACUAGGUGUGGGGCUCAUUCCACGAGUUCCGUG